UCGAAUUUCAACAACACAAAUCAGUGUUUGGAAAGAAUAGAAGACUUUAAAAGAAAUCAAAAAAUGAAAUUCG
rnacentral:rRNA from 13 species